AUUGAACGCUGGCGGCAGGCUUAACACAUGCAAGUCGAGCGGGGUGAUGGUGCUUGCACUAUCACUUAGCGGCGGACGGGUGAGUAAUGCUUAGGAAUCUGCCUAUUAGUGGGGGACAACAUCUCGAAAGGGGUGCUAAUACCGCAUACGUCCUACGGGAGAAAGCAGGGGAUCACUUGUGACCUUGCGCUAAUAGAUGAGACUAAGUCGGAUUAGCUAGUUGGUGGGGUAAAGGCCUACCAAGGCGACGAUCUGUAGCGGGUCUGGGAGGAUGAUCCGCCACACUGGGACUGAGACACGGCCCAGACUCCUACGGGAGGCAGCAGUGGGGAAUAUUGGACAAUGGGGGGAACCCUGAUCCAGCCAUGCCGCGUGUGUGAAGAAGGCCUUAUGGUUGUAAAGCACUUUAAGCGAGGAGGAGGCUCUUUUGGUUAAUACCCAAGAUGAGUGGACGUUACUCGCAGAAUAAGCACCGGCUAACUCUGUGCCAGCCGCCGCAGUAA
rnacentral:rRNA from 1 species